UGGGUUGGCCAAAAAGUUCGUUCGGAUUUUUCUGUGAAACGAAAUUUAGGCCAACCCA
rnacentral:miRNA from 1 species